UAAUACCUACGGGGCGCAGCAGUGGGGAAUAUUGCACAAUGGGGGAAACCCUGAUGCAGCGACGCCGCGUGAAGGAAGAAGCAUUUCGGUAUGUAAACUUCUAUCAGCAGGGAAGAAAAUGACGGUACCUGACUAAGAAGCCCCGGCUAACUACGUGCCAGCAGCCGCGGUAAUACGUAGGGGGCAAGCGUUAUCCGGAUUUACUGGGUGUAAAGGGAGCGUAGGCGGUGCAGCAAGUCAGAAGAGAAAGCCCGGGGCUCAACUCCGGGACUGCUUUUGAAACUG
rnacentral:rRNA from 1 species